rnacentral:rRNA from 1 species
UUUCAAUUGAAGAGUUUGAUCCUGGCUCAGAUUGAACGCUGGCGGCAUGGUUAAAGCAUGCAAGUCGAACGCGAACCACCUUCGGGUGGGGAAAGUGGCGAAAGGGCGAGUAAUGCGAUCGAAUGUGCCCCGAGGUGGGGGAUAGCGUCGGGAAAUCGGCGGUAAUACCCCAUGUCCUCUACGGAGAAAAGAUUUAUCGCCUUGGGAGCAGCGAUCGUCCUAUCAGGUAGUUGGUGAGGUAACGGCUCACCAAGCCGAAGACGGGUAGCGGGUGUGAGAGCAUGACCCGCCGCAUCGGAACUGAGACACUGUCCGGACUCCUACGGGAGGCUGCAGCGACGAAUAUUCCGCAAUGGGCGAAAGCCUGACGGAGCAAUGCCGCGUGUGGGAUGAAGCAUCUUCGAUGUGUAAACCACUGUCAGAUUCUAGGAACACUGACCGGAAUCAGAGGAAGGGCCGGCUAACCUCGUGCCAGCAGCCGCGGUAAUACGAGGGGCCCGAGCGUUAAUCGGAAUCACUGGGCUUAAAGGGUGCGCAGGCGGACUUGUAAGCAUCUUGUGAAAUCCCCCGGCUCAACCGGGGAACUGCAGGGUGAACUGCAAGUCUUGAGACAGGUAGGGGCAGACGGAACUGUCGGUGGAGCGGUGAAAUGCUUAGAUAUCGACAGGAACGCCAAUGGCGAAGGCAGUCUGCUGGGCCUGUUCUGACGCUCAGGCACGAAAGCGUGGGGAGCAAACAGGAUUAGAUACCCUGGUAGUCCACGCCGUAAACGAUGUGCACUAGAUCGAGGUGGCUCUCACGCCUUCUCGGUCGAAGGAAAACCAUUAAGUGCACCGCCUGGGGAGUACGGUCGCAAGGCUAAAACUCAAAGGAAUUGACGGGGGCUCACACAAGCGGUGGAGCAUGUUGCUUAAUUCGAGGCAACGCGAAGAACCUUACCUGGGCUUGACAUGUACGGAUUAACUCUUGGAAACUUGAGCCACGCCUUCGGGUGGAACGUACACAGGUGUUGCAUGGCUGUCGUCAGCUCGUGCUGUGAAGUGUCGGGUUAAGUCCCUUAACGAGCGCAACCCCUAUCGCUAGUUGCCAGCGCGUCAUGGCGGGGACUCUAGCGAGACUGCCGGUGUCAAACCGGAGGAAGGUGGGGAUGACGUCAAGUCAUCAUGGCCCUUAUGUCCAGGGAUGCAAACGUGCUACAAUGGCAUGGACAGAGCGACGCGAGGCCGCGAGGCGGAGCAAAUCGCAAAAACCAUGCCCCAGUUCGGAUUGCAGGCUGCAACUCGCCUGCAUGAAGCCGGAAUCGCUAGUAAUCGGAGAUCAGCUACGCUCCGGUGAAUACGUUCCUGAGCCUUGUACACACCGCCCGUCAAGUCAUGGAAGCUGGUAGUGCCCAAAGUCACGUCAUUUCAGGCGUGCCUACGGCAAGAUCGGUGACUGGGACUAAGUCGUAACAAGGUAGCCGUAGGAGAACCUGCGGCUGGAUCACCUCCUUUCUA